rnacentral:rRNA from 1 species
UCGAGAAUCUUCCGCAAUGGGCGAAAGCCUGACGGAGCGACGCCGCGUGUAGGAUGAAGGCCCUCGGGUUGUAAACUACUGUCACGGGUUAUGAAUGUGCAUAUGUUAACAGCGUGUGUAUUGACGUAAGCCCGAAAGGAAGCACCGGCUAACUCUGUGCCAGCAGCCGCGGUAAUACAGAGGGUGCAAACGUUGUUCGGAAUUACUGGGCAUAAAGCGCGCGUAGGCGGCGACGUAAGUGUAGGGUGAAAUCCCACGGCUCACCCGUGUGAAUUGCCCCGCAUACUGCGUUGCUCGAGUGUGGUAGGGGAGAGCGGAACUCCUGGUGGAGCGGUGAAAUGCGUAGAUAUCUGGAGGAACACCGGUGGCGAAGGCGGCAUCCUGGACCAAUACUGACGCUGAGGAGCGAAAGCCAGGGGAGCAAACGGGAUUAGAUACCCCCGUAGUCCCUGAGCGGGCUGGCAAGGCGCAU